rnacentral:rRNA from 1 species
CCUAGGGGUGGCUGCAGUGGGGAAUAUUGGACAAUGGGCGAAAGCCUGAUCCAGCCAUGCCGCGUGUGUGAAGAAGGCCUUCGGGUUGUAAAGCACUUUCAGUGGGGAAGAAAGCCUUGGGGCUAAUACCCUCGAGGAAGGACAUCACCCACAGAAGAAGCACCGGCUAACUCCGUGCCAGCAGCCGCGGUAAUACGGAGGGUGCGAGCGUUAAUCGGAAUUACUGGGCGUAAAGCGCGCGUAGGCGGUCUGAUAAGCCGGUUGUGAAAGCCCCGGGCUCAACCUGGGAACGGCAUCCGGAACUGUCAGGCUAGAGUGCAGGAGAGGAAGGUAGAAUUCCCGGUGUAGCGGUGAAAUGCGUAGAGAUCGGGAGGAAUACCAGUGGCGAAGGCGGUCUUCUGGACUGACACUGACGCUGAGGUGCGAAAGCGUGGGUAGCAAACAGGAUUAGAUACCCCGGUAGUC